rnacentral:rRNA from 1 species
GGGGUAGUCCACGCCGUAAACGAUGGAUACUAGCUGUUGGAGGUAUCGACCCCUUCAGUAGCGAAGCUAACGCGUUAAGUAUCCCGCCUGUGGAGUACGGCCGCAAGGCUAAAACAUAAAGGAAUUGACGGGGACCCGCACAAGCGGUGGAUUAUGUUCUUUAAUUCGAUGAUAACCGAAGAACCUUACCAGGGCUUGACAUCCAGGGAAUUUUUGGGAAACCAAUUAGUGCCGUUUGGAACCCUGUGACAGGUGAUGCAUGGCCGUCGUCAGCUCGUGUCGUGAGAUGUUUGGUUAAGUCCAUCAACGAGCGCAACCCUUGUGUCUAGUUGUAUUUUUCUAGACAGACUGCUUCGGUAACGGAGAGGAAGGAGGGGAUGAUGUCAGGUCAGUAUUUCCCUUACGUCCUGGGCUAGAAACACGAUACAAUGGCUAGUACAAUGCGCANGCGAAGCCGCGAGGUGAAGCAAAUCGCAUCAAAGCUAGUCCCAGUUCGGAUUGGAGGCUGAAACUCGCCUCCAUGAAGUCGGAAUCGCUAGUAAUCGCAAAUCAGCAAGUUGCGGUGAAUACGUUCCCGGGUCUUGUACACACCGCCCGUCAAACCAUGAAAGUGACCAACACCCGAAGUCCGAUUCGUCGGCCUAAGGUGGGGGGCAUGAUUGGGGUU